rnacentral:rRNA from 1 species
AUCUAAGGCCAUGCCACCCUGAACGUGCCUGAUCUCAUCUGAUUUCGGAAGCUAAGCGGGGUCGGACCUGGUUAGUACUUGGAUGGGAGACCAUCUAGGAAUACCAGGUGCUAUAGACG